rnacentral:rRNA from 1 species
UACGGGGGGGGCAAGCGUUGUUCGGAAUUACUGGGCGUAAAGGGCUCGUAGGCGGCCAACUAAGUCGGAUGUGAAAUCCCCGAGCUCAACUCGGGAACUGCGUCCGAUACUGGCAGGCUUGAAUCCGGGAGAGGGAUGCGGAAUUCCAGGUGUAGCGGUGAAAUGCGUAGAUAUCUGGAGGAACACCGGUGGCGAAGGCGGCAUCCUGGACCGGCAUUGACGCUGAGGCGCGAAAGCCAGGGGAGCAAACGGG